UCCUACGGGAGGCAGCAGUAGGGAAUAUUGCACAAUGGGCGAAAGCCUGAUGCAGCAACGCCGCGUGCGCGAUGAAGGCCUUCGGGUUGUAAAGCGCUUUUCUGGGGGAAGAGGAAGGACGGUACCCCAGGAAUAAGUCUCGGCUAACUUCGUGCCAGCAGCCGCGGUAAUACGAGGGGUGCAAGCGUUAUUCGGAUUGAUUGGGUGUAAAGGGUGUGCAGACGGCUUACUAAGUCACUUGUUAAAUUCCUCGGCCUAACUGAGGAUCUGCAGGUGAUACUGGAAAGCUAGAGGGUGGAAGAGAGAAGUGGAAUUCUCGGAGUAGCGGUAAAAUGCGUAGAUCUCGAGAGGAACACCAAUGGCGAAGGCAGCUUCUUGGUCCAUUCCUGACGUUCAUACACGAAAGCGUGGGGAGCAAACAGGAUUAGAUACCCGAGUAGUCCAAGCCG
rnacentral:rRNA from 1 species